rnacentral:rRNA from 1 species
GACGAACGCUGGCGGCGUGCUUAACACAUGCAAGUCGAACGGAAAGGCCCUGCUUUUGUGGGGUGCUCGAGUGGCGAACGGGUGAGUAACACGUGAGUAACCUGCCCUUGACUUUGGGAUAACUUCAGGAAACUGGGGCUAAUACCGGAUAGGAGCUCCUGCUGCAUGGUGGGGGUUGGAAAGUUUCGGCGGUUGGGGAUGGACUCGCGGCUUAUCAGCUUGUUGGUGGGGUAGUGGCUUACCAAGGCUUUGACGGGUAGCCGGCCUGAGAGGGUGACCGGCCACAAUGGGAAUGAGGUACGGGCCAGACUCCUACGGGAGGCAGCAGUGGGGAAUAUUGCACAAUGGGCGGAAGCCUGAUGCAGCAACGCCGCGUGCGGGAUGACGGCCUUCGGGUUGUAAACCGCUUUCGCCUGUGACGAAGCGUGAGUGACGGUAAUGGGUAAAGAAGCACCGGCUAACUACGUG